CGGAGGGUCGAGUAAUGUCUGGGAAACUGCCCGAUGGAGGGGGAUAACUACUGGAAACGGUAGCUAAUACCGCAUAACGUCGCAAGACCAAAGAGGGGGACCUUCGGGCCUCUUGCCAUCGGAUGUGCCCAGAUGGGAUUAGCUAGUAGGUGGGGUAACGGCUCACCUAGGCGACGAUCCCUAGCUGGUCUGAGAGGAUGACCAGCCACACUGGAACUGAGACACGGUCCAG
rnacentral:rRNA from 1 species